rnacentral:rRNA from 1 species
UGGGGAAUAUUGCACAAUGGGCGCAAGCCUGAUGCAGCCAUGCCGCGUGUGUGAAGAAGGCCUUCGGGUUGUAAAACACUUUCAGCGAGGAGGAAGGUGGUGAACUUAAUACGUUCAUCAAUUGACGUUACUCGCAGAAGAAGCACCGGCUAACUCCGUGCCAGCAGCCGCGGUAAUACGGAGGGUGCAAGCGUUAAUCGGAAUUACUGGGCGUAAAGCGCACGCAGGCGGUUUGUUAAGUCAGAUGUGAAAUCCCCGGGCUCAACCUGGGAACUGCAUUUGAAACUGGCGAGCUAGAGUCUCGUAGAGGGGGGUAGAAUUCCAGGUGUAGCGGUGAAAUGCGUAGAGAUCUGGAGGAAUACCGGUGGCGAAGGCGGCCCCCCGACGAAGACUGACGCUCAGGUGCGAAAGGCGUGGGGGCAGCAAAACAGGAUUAGAUA